rnacentral:rRNA from 3 species
UCUAAUACCGGAUAACACUGCGGAUCGCAUGGUCUGCGGUUGAAAGCUCCGGCGGUGAAGGAUGAGCCCGCGGCCUAUCAGCUUGUUGGUGGGGUGAUGGCCUACCAAGGCGACGACGGG